rnacentral:rRNA from 1 species
GGGUUGUGAGGUUAAGCGACUAAGCGUACACGGUGGAUGCCCUGGCAGUCAGAGGCGAUGAAGGGCGUGCUAAUCUGCGAUAAGCGCCGGUAAGGUGAUAUGAACCGUUAUAACCGGCGAUACCCGAAUGGGGAAACCCAGUGUGACUCGUCACACUAUCAUUAACUGAAUCCAUAGGUUAAUGAGGCGAACCGGGGGAACUGAAACAUCUAAGUACCCCGAGGAAAAGAAAUCAACCGAGAUUCCCCCAGUAGCGGCGAGCGAACGGGGAGGAGCCCAGAGCCUGAAUCAGCAUGUGUGUUAGUGGAAGCGUCUGGAAAGGCGCGCGAUACAGGGUGACAGCCCCGUACACAAAAGCGCAUGUGCUGUGAGCUCGAUGAGUAGGGCGGGACACGUGGUAUCCUGUCUGAAUAUGGGGGGACCAUCCUCCAAGGCUAAAUACUCCUGACUGACCGAUAGUGAACCAGUACCGUGAGGGAAAGGCGAAAAGAACCCCGGCGAGGGGAGUGAAAAAGAACCUGAAACCGUGUACGUACAAGCAGUGGGAGCNNNNNNNNNNNNNNNNNNNNNNNNNNNNNNGGGCGUUAAGUUGCAGGGUAUAGACCCGAAACCCGGUGAUCUAGCCAUGGGCAGGUUGAAGGUUGGGUAACACUAACUGGAGGACCGAACCGACUAAUGUUGAAAAAUUAGCGGAUGACCUGUGGCUGGGGGUGAAAGGCCAAUCAAACCGGGAGAUAGCUGGUUCUCCCCGAAAGCUAUUUAGGUAGCGCCUCGUGAAUUCAUCUCCGGGGGUAGAGCACUGUUUCGGCUAGGGGGCCAUCCCGGCUUACCAACCCGAUGCAAACUGCGAAUACCGGAGAAUGUUAUCACGGGAGACACACGGCGGGUGCUAACGUCCGUCGUGAAGAGGGAAACAACCCAGACCGCCAGCUAAGGUCCCAAAGUCAUGGUUAAGUGGGAAACGAUGUGGGAAGGCCCAGACAGCCAGGAUGUUGGCUUAGAAGCAGCCAUCAUUUAAAGAAAGCGUAAUAGCUCACUGGUCGAGUCGGCCUGCGCGGAAGAUGUAACGGGGCUAAACCAUGCACCGAAGCUGCGGCAGCGACNNGCUGGAGGUAUCAGAAGUGCGAAUGCUGACAUAAGUAACGAUAAAGCGGGUGAAAAGCCCGCUCGCCGGAAGACCAAGGGUUCCUGUCCAACGUUAAUCGGGGCAGGGUGAGUCGACCCCUAAGGCGAGGCCGAAAGGCGUAGUCGAUGGGAAACGGGUUAAUAUUCCCGUACUUGGUGUUACUGCGAAGGGGGGACGGAGAAGGCUAUGUUGGCCGGGCGACGGUUGUCCCGGUUUAAGCGUGUAGGUGUGUGUUCCAGGUAAAUCCGGUUCACUUUAACACUGAGGCGUGACGACGAGGCACUACGGUGCUGAAGCAACAAAUGCCCUGCUUCCAGGAAAAGCCUCUAAGCAUCAGGUAACAUCAAAUCGUACCCCAAACCGACACAGGUGGUCAGGUAGAGAAUACCAAGGCGCUUGAGAGAACUCGGGUGAAGGAACUAGGCAAAAUGGUGCCGUAACUUCGGGAGAAGGCACGCUGACACGUAGGUGAAGUGAUUUACUCAUGGAGCUGAAGUCAGUCGAAGAUACCAGCUGGCUGCAACUGUUUAUUAAAAACACAGCACUGUGCAAACACGAAAGUGGACGUAUACGGUGUGACGCCUGCCCGGUGCCGGAAGGUUAAUUGAUGGGGUCAGCGCAAGCGAAGCUCCUGAUCGAAGCCCCGGUAAACGGCGGCCGUAACUAUAACGGUCCUAAGGUAGCGAAAUUCCUUGUCGGGUAAGUUCCGACCUGCACGAAUGGCGUAAUGAUGGCCAGGCUGUCUCCACCCGAGACUCAGUGAAAUUGAACUCGCUGUGAAGAUGCAGUGUACCCGCGGCAAGACGGAAAGACCCCGUGAACCUUUACUAUAGCUUGACACUGAACAUUGAGCCUUGAUGUGUAGGAUAGGUGGGAGGCUUUGAAGUGUGGACGCCAGUCUGCAUGGAGCCGACCUUGAAAUACCACCCUUUAAUGUUUGAUGUUCUAACGUGGACCCGUUACCCGGGUUGCGGACAGUGUCUGGUGGGUAGUUUGACUGGGGCGGUCUCCUCCUAAAGAGUAACGGAGGAGCACGAAGGUUGGCUAAUCCUGGUCGGACAUCAGGAGGUUAGUGCAAUGGCAUAAGCCAGCUUGACUGCGAGCGUGACGGCGCGAGCAGGUGCGAAAGCAGGUCAUAGUGAUCCGGUGGUUCUGAAUGGAAGGGCCAUCGCUCAACGGAUAAAAGGUACUCCGGGGAUAACAGGCUGAUACCGCCCAAGAGUUCAUAUCGACGGCGGUGUUUGGCACCUCGAUGUCGGCUCAUCACAUCCUGGGGCUGAAGUAGGUCCCAAGGGUAUGGCUGUUCGCCAUUUAAAGUGGUACGCGAGCUGGGUUUAGAACGUCGUGAGACAGUUCGGUCCCUAUCUGCCGUGGGCGCUGGAGAACUGAGGGGGGCUGCUCCUAGUACGAGAGGACCGGAGUGGACGCAUCACUGGUGUUCGGGUUGUCAUGCCAAUGGCACUGCCCGGUAGCUAAAUGCGGAAGAGAUAAGUGCUGAAAGCAUCUAAGCACGAAACUUGCCCCGAGAUGAGUUCUCCCUGAGACUUAGAGUCUCCUGAAGGAACGUUGAAGACGACGACGUUGAUAGGCCGGGUGUGUAAGCGCAGCGAUGCGUUGAGCUAACCGGUACUAAUGAACCGUGAGGCUUAACCUUACAACGCCGAAG